CCUACGGGCGGCAGCAGUGAGGAAUAUUGGUCAAUGGGCGGGAGCCUGAACCAGCCAAGUCGCGUGAGGGAAGACGGUCCUACGGAUUGUAAACCUCUUUUGCCGGGGAGCAACGGGGUCCUUGCGAGGGCCCGAUGAGAGUACCCGGAGAAAAAGCAUCGGCUAACUCCGUGCCAGCAGCCGCGGUAAUACGUAUGGUGCAAGCGUUAUCCGGAUUUACUGGGUGUAAAGGGAGCGCAGGCGGCACGGCAAGCCUGAUGUGAAAGCCCGCGGCCCAACCGCGGGACUGCAUUGGGAACUACCGGGCUGGAGUGCCGGAGAGGUAGGCGGAAUUCCUAGUGUAGCGGUGAAAUGCGUAGAUAUUAGGAGGAACACCAGUGGCGAAGGCGGCCUACUGGACGGUGACUGACGCUGAGGCUCGAAAGCGUGGGGAGCAAACAGGAUUAGAUACCCCAGUAGUC
rnacentral:rRNA from 1 species